AGGUGCGAUCAUACCAGCACUAAUGCACCGGGUGUCCUCUCGAGGAGGCGUUAGGGAUCAUCUGAUAGACGAGAGUAGUACUUGGAUGGGUGACCUCCUAGGAAGUCCUCGUGUUGGCACUUC
rnacentral:rRNA from 1 species